ACGAACGCUGGCGGCAGGCUUAACACAUGCAAGUCGAGCGCCCCGCAAGGGGAGCGGCAGACGGGUGAGUAACGCGUGGGAACGUACCUUUUGGUUCGGAACAACUCCGGGAAACUGGAGCUAAUACCGGAUAAGCCCUAACGGGGAAAGAUUUAUCGCCGAAAGAUCGGCCCGCGUCUGAUUAGCUAGUUGGUGAGGUAACGGCUCACCAAGGCGACGAUCAGUAGCUGGUCUGAGAGGAUGAUCAGCCACACUGGGACUGGGACACGGCCCAGACUCCUACGGGAGGCAGCAGUGGGGAAUAUUGGACAAUGGGCGCAAGCCUGAUCCAGCCAUGCCGCGUGAGUGAUGAAGGCCUUAGGGUUGUAAAGCUCUUUUGUCCGGGAAGAUAAUGACUGUACCGGAAGAAUAAGCCCCGGCUAACUUCGUG
rnacentral:rRNA from 1 species